UCUGAAAAAAUUGCACUCGCGAAGGCCCGCGGCGGGUGUUGACGCGAUGUGAUUCUGCCAGUGCUCUGAAUGUCAAAGUGAAGAAAUUCAAUGAAGGCGGUGUAAAUGCGCGGGAGUAACUAUGACUCUCUUAAGGUAGCCAAAUGCCUCGUAUCUAAUUACGUGAUGCGCAUGAAUGGAUGAACGAGA
rnacentral:ncRNA from 1 species